rnacentral:rRNA from 1 species
CCUACGGGUGACAGCAGUGGGGAAUAUUGCACAAUGGGGGAAACCCUGAUGCAGCGACGCCGCGUGAGUGAAGAAGUAUUUCGGUACGUAAAGCUCUAUCAGCAGGGAAGAAAAUGACGGUACCUGACUAAGAAGCCCCGGCUAACUACGUGCCAGCAGCCGCGGUAAUACGUAGGGGGCAAGCGUUAUCCGGAUUUACUGGGUGUAAAGGGAGCGUAGACGGCAGCGCAAGUCUGGAGUGAAAUCCCAUGGCUUAACCAUGGAACUGCUUUGGAAACUGUGCAGCUAGAGUGCAGGAGAGGUAAGCGGAAUUCCUAGGGUAGCGGUGAAAUGCGUAGAUAUUAGGAGGAACACCAGUGGCGAAGGCGGCUUACUGGACUGUAACUGACGUUGAGGCUCGAAAGCGUGGGGAGCAAACAGGAUUAGAUACCCCAGUAGUC